AUACGAAGGGGGCAAGCGUUGUUCGGAAUAACUGGGCGUAAAGCGCACGUAGGCGGAAUGUUAAGUUAGAGGUGAAAUCCCAGGGCUCAACCCUGGAACGGCCUUUAAUACUGGCAAUCUAGAGACCGAGAGAGGUGAGUGGAAUUCCGAGUGUAGAGGUGAAGUUCGUAGAUAUUCGGAGGAACACCAGUGGCGAAGGCGGCUCACUGGCUCGGUACUGACGCUGAGGUGCGAAAGCGUGGGGAGCAAACAGGAUUAGAAUCCCUUGUAGUCC
rnacentral:rRNA from 1 species